CGGGCACCGACGGACUAUUUCUCCCUUUCCGCGGAAGGACAUAAUUGACAUCGCAAACUCAAGUCACCUUCGGCUUCAGCCGUACCACGCCUUUUUCUUGCCUCGUAGCCCAGGACGGAAAGUUUGCCAGAUACACAUUUCUUUAGCUCCCUGACCACUGAUUCGGGCGUGGCCCCUUUAAAUGCAAAUGAACCGCCUUCUCGCUCUCGCCCCCCCACCCCCAUCCCAACUUCGCUCCUCGUGCCCAGACUCCGCCAGCUGCCAUUGACGUCACGCGUGCGUCAGCGUCGCCAGCCCAACCAGACGGCACGUGGGGGGAAGAAGGUGGCCUUAAAGGGCCAGGCGCCUUUGGCUUGCCGGGUUGCUGUUCUGAGUUUGGCCUCGAGAAAGAGGAAUGAGAUGAGAAGUGGGGAAAUCUAUUGGAACAGGAAGAAAUGCAGGACAGACGUUAGGGAGGACAGGUAGGAGUUCUGCUCCUUCGCAGAGCAGGAGGGCCAGGCCUUUCCUCUAGAUUCCCCAGGAGUUUGGGGUUUGCGCCUGGGAGAGCAGAACGACUCUGAAGGUAAAGGAGGCUGGCAUUUAAGACUCGCCCGGUUAUACCGUCAGCCCUUCCUUCACCCCUGCCCAGCAUGCCCACAGUGCACGGACUUCAUUCUCUUCGGUAUCUCCGGCACCAAGGGGACAGGUGGACUGGAGUCUGACAGAGGUAGCCAUCAAUAGGAACGACUCUGUUCUUUGUGCUUGGAGCCCUGAUCCCCAUCCAGCUGCAUCUCUGCCAGGCUGAGGAGGCCGCUCGGGCCGUCCGCAGUGUCGACACGGGGCUGUCACCACUCUUGACCCGUGGCUCUGCCGUCGGCUCAGCUCCCAAGCAGAAAGAGCACCUUCGUGGGGCGAGCGUUUGUGCACCUGUGACGGGGCCCUGGGGAAGUGGCCUGGGAAGGCGAAGAUCCCCGGUGACCAAGGGCAAGUUGCAGGGCCCAUGCAAACUUGGCGGAGCACCAGCUGUGCUCUGGGGGAGCCCCGAGCCUCGCCACGGUUUGUGGAAGGUCUCUGAGGUGUCUUCCUCGCUCGUGGCCGAGGGGAAGUCACGCGUGGAGCCAGUUAUCAAGAAAGGGCCAAAAAAGCGUCCUCUGCUGGAGAGCACUUACUGCUUCUGACAGAGUGAAGUAUCCGUCUUCCCCUGCCCGCCGUUGCCCCGGGAGGGCGCUGGUCCUCGGCUGCUCGGCUUCCUGACGGAUCCCAGCGCCCGAGACAGGGACCCGCACCUAAAGGGCGCCCGGGGGCUCGUCGGUGAAGCGUCUGCCUUCGGCUCAGGUCGUGAUCCCAGGGUCCUGGGACUGAGUCCCUCGUUGGGCUGCCUGCUUGGUGGGGGGGUCUGCUUCUCCCUCCGCCCCUCGCCCUGCUCAUGAUGUCUCUCUCUCUCAAAUAAAUAAAUAAAAUCUUAAAAAAAAAGUAUUUGUCGAAGGACUGAGUUUUUUUUAUGGGGGAGGGGAGGGGGAGAGAAGGUCUUUUUUUUUUUUUAAUUUAUUUAUUUGACAGAGACACCGUGAGGGGAACACAAGCAGGGGAAGUGGUUGGUACAGAUUUUGCUGGAUGCCACGCCACAUGUAAAAAGAUCCUUUAUAAAGCACACACCCUUUGAUGCAACAACUUCCCUUUUAGAAAUAGAGUCCAAGGAGGGGCGCCUGGGUGGCUCAGUCGGUUAAGCGACUGCCUUCGGCUCGGGUCAUGAGCCCAGGGUCCUGGGAUCGAGCCCCGCAUCGGGCUCCCGGCUCAGUGGGGAGCCUGCUUCUCCCUCUGACCCUCUCCUCUCUCAUGGUGUUUCUCUCUCGCUUGCUCUCUAAUAGAUAAAUAAAUAAAAUCUUAAAAAAAAAAAAAAAAGAAAUAGAGUCCAAGGAAAUACACACGGUCACAAAGGUUUAGGUACAAGGAUGAAUCAGGAAGUAAUCUGUGUAAGCGACAAAGCGUCGGGCUCAGGAACAUCAGCAAAUGGGGAGCCGUUGGGAGGUGCUGCGUGGCAUUCAGGUUUGUCAAGUGUGGGAUGACCUGAUCUGGGGGAGAUGACAGUCUGACCCCUCUGGGGAUCCUGGUGCCAGAAGCUGGUGGCUGUCUCCGCAGGGUGCUGUGAGCGGGUGACUCAGACCAACUGGCUUCCCUUCCUGGGUGCCGCCCUCAGAAUUCAAGUUCCCACGGCCCAGGGGGAGGAAGUCUGAGUGUCUGCUCUGGAGUCCUGGGCCCACAGUCCUGGGUGGUGGGAGGCAGAUCCGCUAACCGUCAGCCCCACGGUUGCGUGGGGGGGGGGGAUCAGUUCCCCAGUCAGGAAGAGACCCAGAGAGGACAACACCACUAAAGGUUUGUCACCCAGCAUUCUUCUAUCAAAACAUAAACCUUCUAGAUGGUUGGGGUUUUUGUUGUUGUUGUUUUAAGUAGGCUUUAUGCCCAACUUGGGGCUUAAACUCAGGUUCCUGAGAUCAAGAGUCGCCUGCUCUACCAGCUGAGCCAGGCUGGCGCCCCUGGAAUCCCCCAUUUAAUAUGAGAAAGUGUUUACAAUGGAAAUGGAAAUAAACAGGUUUUAAAAUAAGAUGUAUAGCAUGAUUCUAAUUACAAAUAUGGUUGAAAGAAAAGACAUCAAAGUGUUACAAGUGGUUAUCAUUUUGUAAUUGUAUCAUGAAUUAUUCUUACCCCUUUUUUGCUUUAUAAAUAUUUCCCAAACUUUCUACGAUGAAUAUAUAAUUAG